UUAAGUAUACCAUAUUAAAUGUUUUAGCUUAAGCGUAUAAGAAUGAAGUUACAUCAUAUUUUCAUUCUGGAUUAAAUCAGUAGUUAAACCAUCGAUUUAAAAUCAGAGAAGAAAAAUAAAACAAACAUUUAGUUAAUUAUUCAACUCAUCCGGUUGAUAGCCUCAAAAUUACGUUUUAUGAGAUUUUUGUUUAUUUCAGACAUGAAAUAAAUCGAAUACAUACACUAUCACUUACAUUGAGCAUUCGUUUGAAAUUGCCACAAUGAGCAGAAAGAUUUUGUCACUACCCGUGUUGAAAGAAGAGGACGAAGACGAAAAUGAAGAAGUUGAAACAAAAACGGAAACAGUAGAAAAUUUGGGAAUGGAAGACGUCGCUAUUGUAGAAUACGACGACAUGGGGCGGCUUUUCAUUCACAAAAGAAACCAAAAAGUCCAGUUCAGAACAUUCAAGUUAGUCAAGGGUGCUUUGAUGACAUUGUUCAUGUGGUGUUUCGUCAUCACAGCAAUAGUCAUUCUCGUUGCUGUAUCACAGGAUAACCUUGCUAAUUACAAGAGAGCAAAUCAAAUCACUCAAAUUAUGAAAGUUGACAACUCCUUUGACACCCUUCUGGAAGAUGCAAUACGUUAAAAAUGUUCUGAUCGCAAUAAGAGAAAGAAAAACAAAAACAAAGAAUUAAAAACUGGACAAAUUUUUUCAUGUUUAUUAAAAAUAGAGUUAUCUUAAGAUUAUUGCUAUUCUGUAUUUUUUACGAUUAUGCUUGAGGUUUUCUGUUUGUUUCUUAUCACUCAAAUAAAUAUACACUAAAAAUUGUAUUAUUAGAAAAAGUCU